ensembl:lncRNA
GGCUAAGCUAGUGGGGGCAAAGUUUCAGUGCAUUCCAUUGAUGUAGAUGGUGUGAAAAUGGAAACAAGUAUGCCGUCUCACUGUGCUGCGUACAAUUACACACUACGUCGUACGAUUGAGACAAGGAAACUUGGAAUGACUUUUCAUAGGUUUCCCAGAGACUAUGGGUUGAGGAGGAAUUGGAAGUUUGUCGGCUUAGACCUGGUGUCAUUCCAUCAGUGUUAAACUUCCCGGCUCAUCUUGGAAGAGUAUGUGCCAGAAAGACCACGACCAAGCAGCCUUGAGAUCUUAGACAGCGUCUCCCUAAGGUCCCUCUCUAUCUCCCCACACAUCCACCAACCACUGGAACACAUCUCCAAAGUUCUGCCGGGCCAGCUCAGCUUCCCCUCAGAAGAAGUGGUGCCACCUGCCAGAUGAAGGAGCCUUUUGAGAGGCAGCUGGCAUCGUGAUUGGACUGUACUUUGGUCUGUUCCAGUCCAGCUUCAGCUCCAGAGACGGCAGGCGGGACGAGUCAACGGAGGCCGGAUGGACGAAGGCAUGAAGCUGAGUACAAUCCAGAAAACAACAGAGGAGGAGUGCAGCAGCCCAGAGCCAGAACAAACAGAACCAAAGAACUACAGACUCUUCACAACCUGCUCAAACUCUUGGUACAGGACCUCACCACACGGGUCAAGAAGGUUGCUUUGUAGAACUGUUGCAGAAAACCUCACUAAACCACAUGGAGGGGCCUCAAGAUAGUCGUCCAAAUGAAACCGUACAAAAACCAAACUAGCACAACCCAAACGCUAAAGUCUCCUGCAGCC